rnacentral:sRNA from 1 species
UAGGGUCGAAAUGUCAAGGGGCGAUUCGUGCUUGCACGGAAUCGACCUUGAUAUUGAGACCCGCCAAACAUGAGGAUGCAGCACAACGUGCGGAAUCCGAAUGUUUGUAGAAUUGUGGGAGCUGCGAUAGCAGCGGAGCAAUUCGUA